GAUGAACGCUGGCGGCGUGCCUAAUACAUGCAAGUCGAGCGAACAGACGAGGAGCUUGCUCCUCUGACGUUAACGGCGGACGGGUGAGUAACACGUGGAUAACCGAACUAUAAGACUGGGAUUACUUCGGGAAACCGGAUCUAAUACCGUAUAAUCUAUUGAACCGCAUGGUUCAAUAUUGAAAGGCGGUUUUGCUGUCACUUUGCCAUGGAUCCGCGCCGCAUUUGCUAGUGGGUAAGGUAACGGUUUACCAAGGCAACGAUGCGUAGCCGACCUGACCGGGUGAUCGGCCACACUGGAACUGAGACCCGGUCCAGAGUCCUACGGGAGGCAGCAGUCGGGAAUCUUCCGCACUGGGCGAAAGCCUGACGGAGCACCGCCGCGUGAGUGAUGAAGGUCUUCGGAGCGUAAAACUCUGUUAUGAGGGACGAAGAAAUGUGUAAGUAACUAUGAACGUCUUGACGGUACCUAGUCAGAAAGCCACGGCUAACUACGUG
rnacentral:rRNA from 1 species